rnacentral:rRNA from 1 species
UACGUAGGGUGCGAGCGUUAAUCGGAAUUACUGGGCGUAAAGCGUACGCAGGCGGUUCGCAAAGGCUGAUGUGAAAGCCCCGGGCUCAACCUGGGAACUGCAUUGGAAACUAACGGGCUCGAGUGUGGCAGAGGGGGGUGGAAUUCCACGUGUAGCAGUGAAAUGCGUAGAGAUGUGGAGGAACACCGAUGGCGAAGGCAGCCCCCUGGGCUAACACUGACGCUCAGGCACGAAAGCGUGGGGAGCAAACAGG